rnacentral:rRNA from 1 species
GACGAACGCUUGCGGCGUGCUUAACACAUGCAAGUCGAACGAGUGGCGAACGGGUGAGUAACACGUUGGUGAUCUGCCUUGCACUUCGGGCUAAGCUUGGGAAACUGGGUCUAAUACCGGAUAGUGCAAGAUGAGCUCGCGGCCUAUCAGCUUGUUGGUGGGGUAAUGGCUACCAAGGCGCGACGGGUAGCCGGCCUGAGAGGGUGUACGGCCACAUAGGGACUGAGAGACGGGCGAGAGUCGUACGGGAGGCAGAAGAGGGGAAUAGAGCACGAUGGGCGGAAGACUGAGGCAGCGGCGACGCGUGGGGGAUGAAGGCGGUCGGGUUGUAAACUGCUUUCGACAGGGACGCGGUACCUGGAUAAGAAGCACCGGCGAAAUACGUGCCAGCAGCCGCGGUAAUAC